AUACGUAGGUGGCGAGCGUUGUCCGGAAUUACUGGGCGUAAAGGAUGCGUAGGUGGAUAUUUAAGUGGGAUGUGAAAUCCCCGGGCUCAACCCGGGAACUGCAUUCCAAACUGGGUAUCUAGAGCGCAGGAGAGGAAAGCGGAAUUCCUAGUGUAGCGGUGAAAUGCGUAGAUAUUAGGCGGAACACCAGUGGCGAAGGCGGCUUUCUGGACUGUAACUGACACUGAGGCAUGAAAGCGUGGGUAGAAAACAGGAUUAGAUACCCUGGUAGUCCACGCCGUAAACGAUGGGUACUAGGUGUAGGAGGUAUCGACCCCUUCUGUGCCGUCGUUAACACAAUAAGUACCCCGCCUGGGGAGUACGGUCGCAAGACUAAACUCAAAGGAAUCGACGGGG
rnacentral:rRNA from 1 species